UCACACUUCCACUUUCAUCACGUCUCGUCUGUUUGUUCUUUUACAAACAGACACACACACACACACACACACACACACACACCAAACACUCAACACACACAUCAACAGCUGCACACACAUUUAUAGAGCCACAAAAAGCAGGACACGCCAAACGAUAUUUUUACCUCACUCAAAGCUUUGCGACUUAUUACAGCGCCAGAUGAAGGCAGGAUUCUGUCCACUCAUCUGGUCUGAAUUCAGCCAAUAGUGGAGAUGAUGUUGAUUUUAUUGACGGGAUAGAAUCUACUCAUGAUAUUGUUGAUGAUGAGGAGGAGGAAGAACAGACUUCCUGCUCCCCUGAGCAGUGCUCUGGAGAGAGGCAGAGGGAGAGGAAGAGGAAGGAGUCAGCCUUUAGGAAACAGGAGCUGCAGCAGUCGUUCCACUGGCAGGCAGGCAAGGAGGAAAGGUGGAAUCGGGAUGAUGCAGUCACAGUUGAGGAGAUCAUAAAGAUGAAGGCUGAUUGUGCUGAACAAAGAGUGCACAUAUCUUAAGAUUUAUGAAGACUGUGCAAGUGUGUUUGUACAAGAUAAUGGGGUACAGGAUCUGUGUCACAUUGCUACUGUUGUUCCCCACCCUUUAAGAGCAGAAACAUUUAUGUAACUAGGGACCACCCUAAAUAUAAUAAAAAGAGGUGUUGGAGGGAUGUGUUUUCAGAGCAGUAGGAGAUUUGUAACUGAAAGCACAUCUCUGUCCAUUCUCCUUGCAGCGAGUACAAACAAAUUCUCUUGUCUUUCUCUUCUUUUUGUGAUGUUAUUAGUAUUUUAGGUUAAUUGAACCUGACAUUUUUGGUCAUUCGAAGCCGGAUACCAAUACGCCUGAGGAUUCCAGCGGGUUGUUGGAAUCCAGUAAAGACCAUGCGUAUGGCAGUCUUAAUCAGGGAGACUCUCAGACCCGUUCUGGGACUGGACCUCAGCCCCAGAACGGGUCUGACGGCUGACGGAACUCCGAGACAGAGAGGAAAGACAAGUGGUGAGUUGAGUUUGGAUUAAAAAGUGUGAUGAAUGACUGGGGGUCAUUGCGUGAUGUAAAACCCUGUGUAUCAUAGGCCCUAACAGGUAAAAGUAGGACAGUGGAGUCCUGAAACGUAUUAAGAAGUAAUACUGAAAAUUCCGUGUUUAAAAAGUGGACGGCACAGUCCUAAAACGUAUUAAGAAGUAAUACUGAAAAUUCCGUGUUUAAAAAGUGGACGGCACAGUCCUAAAACGUAUUAAGAAGUAAUACUGAAAAUUCCGUGUUUAAAGGACGGCGGAGUCCUGAUAAGUAUUUAAACAAAAAAACUAAGAAAAUUCCGCGUUUAAAAAAAAAAAAAAAGGUGUGAAUGUGAGAAAUGAAUUAAGGAUUUAAACCGCUAGGUUUGCCUCAUACCAAAGCAGUAGGAUUGUAAGUGACUAACUUUUGUGGAUGCAAAGGCAAGAAUUCUCCACUCGAAACAGUUGAAGUGAGAAUUACCACAAAAGGAGA